rnacentral:rRNA from 1 species
GUCGAGCGGAGAGAGGUAGCUUGCUACUGAUCUUAGCGGCGGACGGGUGAGUAAUGCUUAGGAAUCUGCCUAUUAGUGGGGGACAACAUUUCGAAAGGAAUGCUAAUACCGCAUACGUCCUACGGGAGAAAGCAGGGGAUCUUCGGACCUUGCGCUAAUAGAUGAGCCUAAGUCGGAUUAGCUAGUUGGUGGGGUAAAGGCCUACCAAGGCGACGAUCUGUAGCGGGUCUGAGAGGAUGAUCCGCCACACUGGGACUGAGACACGGCCCAGACUCCUACGGGAGGCAGCAGUGGGGAAUAUUGGACAAUGGGCGCAAGCCUGAUCCAGCCAUGCCGCGUGUGUGAAGAAGGCCUUAUGGUUGUAAAGCACUUUAAGCGAGGAGGAGGCUACUUUAGUUAAUACCUAGAGAUAGUGGACGUUACUCGCAGAAUAAGCACCGGCUAACUCUGUGCCAGCAGCCGCGGUAAUACAGAGGGUGCAAGCGUUAAUCGGAUUUACUGGGCGUAAAGCGCGCGUAGGCGGCUAAUUAAGUCAAAUGUGAAAUCCCCGAGCUUAACUUGGGAAUUGCAUUCGAUACUGGUUAGCUAGAGUGUGGGAGAGGAUGGUAGAAUUCCAGGUGUAGCGGUGAAAUGCGUAGAGAUCUGGAGGAAUACCGAUGGCGAAGGCAGCCAUCUGGCCUAACACUGACGCUGAGGUGCG